rnacentral:misc_RNA from 1 species
GAAACGCGAUAGUUAAUGUGAAUUGCAGAAUUCAGUGAAUCAUCGAGUCUUUGAACGCACAUUGCGCCCAUAGGUAUUCCUUUGGGCAUGUCUGUUUGAGCGUCAUUACAACCCUCAGCUAACCGCUGGUUUUGAACCUGAACGGGUGACACCGCGCCGGUUUUAAAGUUGUAAGCUCUGCUUGGUGUUGGGUGUUUGUCCCCGUCUCCGCGCGUGGACUCGCCCCAAAGUGAUUGGCAGCCGGCGUACUGGUCCCGGAGCGCAGCACAUGUCGCGCAAACGAGUGCCUUGGUACGGCGGCGUCCAUAAGCCCCUCUCUCACGCUCUUGACCUCGGAUCAGGUAGGGAUACCCGCUGAACUUAAGC